AGCAGCCGCGGUAAUUCCAGCUCCAAUAGCGUAUAUUAAAGUUGUUGCAGUUAAAAAGCUCGUAGUUGAAUUUCGGGAUUGGCGCAUCGGUCGUGCCUUACGGGGUAUGAACUGGUGCAGUCAAUUUCUCACCUUCUGGAGAACCGCGAUGUCCUUAAUUGGGUGCCGCGGGGAAACCAGGACCUUUACUUUAGAAAAAUUAGAGUGUUUAAAGCAGGCAUUUUUGCUUGAAUGCAUUAGCAUGGAAUAAUAAAAUAGGACGGCAUGGUUCUAUUUUGUUGGUUUCUAGGACCACCGUAAUGAUUAAUAGGGAUAGUUGGGGCAUUAGUAUUCAAUUGUCAGAGGUGAAAUUCUUGGAUUUAUUGAAGACUAACUACUGCGAAAGCAUUUGCCAAGGAUGUUUUCAUUAAUACAA
rnacentral:rRNA from 1 species